GAGCAAUUCGGCUACCUGGAUUAACUUUACCUGAAUUACCACCUCUACCUUCAGUCACAUUGCCAACUCUACCUCCAGUCUCAUUGCCACAUCUAAGAGUACCACCUCUACCUUCAGUCACAUUGCCAACUCUACCUCCAGUCUCAUUGCCACCUCUAAGAGUACCACCUCUACCUUCAGUCACAUUGCCAACUCUACCUCCAGUCUCAUUGCCACCUCUAAGAGUACCACCUCUACCUUCAGUCACAUUGCCAACUCUACCUCCAGUCUCAUUGCCACCUCUAAGAGUACCACCUCUACCUUCAGUCACAUUGCCAACUCUACCUCCAGUCUCAUUGCCACCUCUACCUCCAGUCACAUUGCCACCUCUUCCACCUGUUCCAGGUUUGCCAUCUCUACCACCGGUUUUGCCAUCUCUACCAC
rnacentral:lncRNA from 1 species